UUAAUCUGCAGCCCAAGCUUUAUUCAACUUCUUCCACUCCAACUCCACGUUGUACACUACUUCACCGCAUCUCCAUUACCAUAAAAAUCUCAACCUCCAACGGAAUUAGUUUCUCUCAACGCAGAUGUUAAUACUCACACGUCUUCCACUUUUCAAAUCACAAUCUUCCCCAUUAACUCAAAAUCUGAGAAAAGAAGCAUAGCGAAAAUCAUGAGUUCUUCAAUAAACUUCAUGAAAUUUCAAAUUGUUCUAUCCAACAAAAGCUUGAAGGAGAAACGAGAGAGCAGCGGCGGCGGAGCAAGCAUGACGGCGCUGUGACAGAAUUUGAGACGGAAAAGAUGGAGAGUAACGGUGGUUUAGAACAGCGUCUUCGAUACAGCGGCGGUGGUGUUGUGUUUUGCCGACGUGCUACAGGCAGACGGUGACAGCAGCGCCGGAGUUUCGCGACGAUGAUGACGGGGGUGCGACUCGGGCAGCGCUAAAAUUUCGUUGAGAAGAGAGAGAACGCAGCAGCGAGAUCGAUGGAGAGAUGAAGGAGGGAAGCGAGUUCUUUUUCAAUUUUGGGUCGGAGAUGUCGACGAAUUUGAGAGAGAGCAGCAAUGAAAAGUAGAGAGGCGGCGGUGGCUGGCGACCCCAGCGAUGGCGUCACGAUUCGGGAGAGGAGAGAGAUACGGGCGAGCAGAGAGAGAGAUUUGGGAACAGGGGCGAAGGACAGCUGUCGUGCAGCGGUUCAGCGACGCCGGCAUCGGACUUGGAGGGCGAGCUGCAGCAGCUCCUGCUGCGUCGCGACAUUAGUGGCGGUGAGCGUGAACUUAGAAGAGAGUGAGAGUUUGCUGUUGCUGUCGAAAUUGAGAGAUAAUUUGAUGGAGAUAAAGAGUUGCAGCGAUGCAAAUCGCGUGAGAGAACAGGGGAGAUGAUUUUGGGGAUUUAAACUGAUUGUGAAUUGAGAGAAGAUGGGGAUUGGACUCUGAAUUGGAAAUUUCAAAUGGGCAGAAAUUGAGGGGAGAGAGAUGAGCUUGAGUUUUGGAGAAGAAAGCAUUUGGGAAUUUUAGCUCCUUUUAUUUCUUGUUGGGCCAACUUUAAAAUAUUAGGAAUUGGGCCAAAGAAAUAAAUGAGAUAGUGUAUGGAAUUUGGGCCAGUAGCUAGGAGCUUCACAGAUUGAAUUAAAGAAUCACAUUGUGGUGAUCUAGUCGGCUGACCUUAUGAUUAACGUAUGAGGAUUUCAGAAAUUUCUAAGUAAUGUCGAAGGGGUGAAUUCUAUGGCAAGCUAUUUGAAAACAAAA